rnacentral:rRNA from 1 species
ACGGGAGGCAGCAGUGGGGAAUAUUGGGCAAUGGGCGAAAGCCUGACCCAGCAACGCCGCGUGAAGGAAGAAGGUCUUCGGAUUGUAAACUUCUUUUAUGAGGGACGAUAAUGACGGUACCUCAUGAAUAAGCCACGGCUAACUACGUGCCAGCAGCCGCGGUAAUACGUAGGUGGCAAGCGUUAUCCGGAUUUACUGGGUGUAAAGGGCGCGUAGGCGGGAAAGCAAGUCAGAUGUGAAAUCCAUGGGCUCAACUCAUGAACUGCAUUUGAAACUGUUUUUCUUGAGUGUCGGAGAGGUAGAUGGAAUUCCUAGUGUAGCGGUGAAAUGCGUAGAUAUUAGGAAGAACACCAGUGGCGAGGGCGGCUUACUGGACGGUAACUGACGUUGAGGCUCGAAAGCGUGGGGAGCAAACAGGAUUAGAUACCCUGGUA